UCUCAUUGUGAUGUAGACCAA
rnacentral:piRNA from 1 species